ensembl:lncRNA
UCUAACUCCUGAGGAGUCUGAUCAGAAGAUCUGGCUGGAGUCUGAGAGUUUAAAUCUUAACCAGCACCCCAGAGCAUGUAGAGGCUGUGACCCGCUCUACUAUAUCUCACAGUCUCUCAUCCUUUACAGAGAUGCUCAGCAGAGACCAGUGUGAAAACUACUUGGCAAGUCCCUCCCCAGUGAAGCUCCUUCUUUGACCCACUCACAAAGUGGUGAUAGAGGCCCAAUAUUCUCAACUCACUGAAGCUGAUUUUUCCCAUUUCCUAAGUUGCUCAUACCUGAGGCAGCAACCAGAUUUUCUCUGGCUGGUGGAAUGAAUUCUAACAACUUGUUUAUUUUAAGGCAGCAAUAAUGAUAGAUGCAGAGAUUGAAAUUCUACCUACUACUCAUCUCCCAAAUUAUCUCAAUAGAAGGACAUGAAGCCUAGAUCACGUGGAACUUGGUAGGACACCAGCUGAAACCCUAAAAAUAGCUGAAUCAUGAUCCAGGAAUUCCUUCCCGACAAAUGACUUCAAUGGAUUCCCAUGAAUGCACAGCUGCCUGGGGGGAUGCAAAACCGCCACUGAGGGCUGAAACAAAGGGUCUUAGAUUUUUAGAAACACUGGCCACCAGUGACUCUACAUUGGACCCGCUAUUUUCUUGUCUAAGAAAUAGGACAUUGGUGAAAUCUGUAUUCCAGAACAGCAGAGGUGUGCUGGGCAGAAAAAAAUUGCUCUUUCUGUUUGGGGCGUGGUAAUACAUCACACUUGGGUGCCCAUCCUGCCCCUCAGAUUAGACAGUAGAAAAACUACAGAGUAGGAGUUGGCAUAUGUGUCUUUCUUUAUCCACAUUCUAUCACAAUGUUCUUUAGUGUGGUUGAUAACACCAGCUGAUUCCCUCAGAGCAGGAAAAGCCUGAAGGAGGGGUUCCGAGAUCCACUUUCAUUCAGAAGAAUCAUGAGCUCACUUAGAUAUGUCACUAAAAGUUCCAGAAUCAUAGACUUAUAGUGCCUGGGACCAUAUAUUGGCUAAAAAUACUAAAAACAGCUCAGUUCAUUCGCUCAAUUGUGUCCGACUCUUUGCAACCCCAUGGAUUGCAGCACACCAGGCCUCCCUGUCCAUCACCAACUCCUGGAGUUUACUCAAACUCAUGUCCAUUGAGUUGGUGAUGCCAUCCAACCAUCUCAUCCUCUGUUGUCCCCUUCUCCUCCUGCCUUCAAUCUUUCCCAGCAUCUGGGUCUUUUCCAAUGAGUCAGUUAUUCAUAUCAGGUGGCCAAAGUAUUGGAGUUCCAGCUUCAACAUCAGUCCUUCCAGUGAACAUUCGGACUGAUUUCCUUCAGGAUGGACUGGUUGGAUCUCCUUUGCAGUCCAAGGGACUCUCAAGAGUCUUCUCCAACACCACAGUUCAAAAGCAUCAAUUCUUCGCUGCUCAGCUUUCUUUGUAGUCCAACUCUCACAUCCAUACAUGACUACUGGUCAUGUACAGCCAAAAAAAGCAGCUAAACUGUGGAUUGUGGAAAAUUGUGUCUCAAAUCUGCAAAGCCCUUCAAGUCUUGGGGGAGACAGAUAAAUAAGAAAGAUAAGUAAUUUUCAAAAUGGAACAGAGUUUGAAGAUUUGAAGUUCAGCUCCUAAUUUCCCACGGGUAAUGUUGAAAACCUAUUCACAUAUGAUUAUUUACAACAUAGCCUUAUUGCAAAAGGGAAGCUACUGGACCUCAAGCAGCUACAGCCACAACCUUCUGAGUCCCUUCAUUCUGAGAGCAGGAUACUCUCCUGUUCAGAUACAGAGAAGUGGUGUUUUCUCCACAUGGAAAGUCAAAGGCCUAGAAUGACAAGUACAGGAAAAAGGCUACCUUUUGGAGCAUCUACGCUAAGUUGCCAUAACCAGCCUACCCUCAGUUCAGUUCAGUCGCUCAGUUGUGUCCAACUCUUUGCGACCCCAUGAAUCGCAGCACACCAGGCCUCCCUGUCCAUCACCAACUCCCAGAGUUCACUCAGACUCAUGUCCAUCGAGUCAUUGAUGCCAUCCAGUCAUCUCAUCCUCUGUUGUCCCCUUCUCCUCCUGCCCGCAAUCCCUCCCAGCAUCACAGUCUUUUCCAAUGAAUCCACUCUUCGCAUGAGGUGGCCAAAGUUACCAUUAUAUUUCAGAAUGAAUGCUUCAGUUGAAAAGGCAAAAAAUAAUCCCUUAAUAUCAAAUAAAAUUAAAAAUACAGACCCUGGUGCUUUGGUGGUUUCAACUCAGGAGUUCCAGGAGGGUGUGGAUUUGAUCCUUGGUUAGAACCCAUGCGCCAUGUGGCAUGGCUAAAAAUCAGUCAAUCAAUAAAUAGCUUGGAUAACUAAAUACUGG